UACGUAGGGACCGAGCGUUGUCCGGAAUCAUUGGGCGUAAAGAGCGUGUAGGCGGCCACUUAAGUCCUGCGUGAAAUCUUGCGGCUCAACCGCAAGCGGUCGUGGGAAACUGGGUGGCUAGAGUGCGGGAGAGGAGAGUGGAAUUCCGGGUGUAGCGGUGGAAUGCGUAGAGAUCCGGAAGAACACCGGUGGCGAAGGCGGUCUGCUGGGCCAAGACUGACGCUGAGGCGCGACAGCGUGGGGAGCAAACAGG
rnacentral:rRNA from 1 species